AUUGAACGCUGGCGGCAGGCCUAACACAUGCAAGUCGAACGAGUGGCGGACGGGUGAGUAAUGUCUGGGAAACUGCCUGGUGGUGGGGGAUAACUACUGGAAACGGUAGCUAAUACCGCAUAAUAUCCGAUGUGCCCAGAUGGGAUUAGCUAGUUGGUGGGGUAAAGGCUCACCUAGGCGACGAUCCCUAGCUGGUCUGAGAGGAUGAUCCGCCACACGGGAACUGAGACACGGUCCAGACUCCUACGGGAGGCAGCAGUGGGGAAUAUUGCACAAUGGGCGCAAGCCGGAUGCAGCCAUGCCGCGUGUAUGAAGAAGGCCUUCGGGUUGUAAAGUACUUUCAGCGGGGAGGCGUUACCCGCAGAAGAAGCACCGGCUAACUCCGUGCCAGCAGCCGCGGUAAUUC
rnacentral:rRNA from 1 species